GAUGAACGCUGGCGGCGUGCCUAAUACAUGCAAGUCGAGCGAACCACUUCGGUGGUGAGCGGCGAAUGGGUGAGUAACACGUAGGUUAUCUGCCCAUCAGACGGGGACAACGAUUGGAAACGAUCGCUAAUACCGGAUAGGACGAAAGUUUAAAGGUGCUUCGGCACCACUGAUGGAUGAGCCUGCGGCGCAUUAGCUAGUUGGUAGGGUAAAGGCCUACCAAGGCGACGAUGCGUAGCCGACCUGAGAGGGUGAACGGCCACACUGGGACUGAGACACGGCCCAGACUCCUACAGGAGGCAGCAGUAGGGAAUCUUCGGCAAUGGGCGAAAGCCUGACCGAGCAACGCCGCGUGAAUGAUGAAGGCCUUCGGGUUGUAAAAUUCUGUUAUAAGGGAAGAAUGGCUCUAGUAGGAAAUGGCUAGAGUGUGACGGUACCUUAUGAGAAAGCCACGGCUAACUUCGUGCCAGCAGCCGCAGUAAAAC
rnacentral:rRNA from 1 species